UAACCUGCCCAAGAGAUCGGGAUAACACCUGGAAACAGAUGCUAAUACCGGAUAACAACAGAUGAUGCCUAUCAACUGUUUAAAAGAUGGUUCUGCUAUCACUCUUGGAUGGACCUGCGGUGCAUUAGCUAGUUGGUAGGGUAACGGCCUACCAGGCGAUGAUGCAUAGCCGAGUUGAGAGACUGAUCGGCCACAUUGGGACUGAGACACGGCCCAAACUCCUACGGGAGGCAGCAGUU
rnacentral:rRNA from 1 species